UGAAGAGUUUGAUCAUGGCUCAGAUUGAACGCUGGCGGCAGGCUUAACACAUGCAAGUCGAGCGGUAACAGGGGGUGCUUGCACCCCGCUGACGAGCGGCGGACGGGUGAGUAAUGCAUAGGAAACUGCCCAGUAGUGGGGGAUAGCCCGGGGAAACCCGGAUUAAUACCGCGUACGCCCUUCGGGGGAAAGCAGGGGAUCUUCGGACCUUGCGCUAUUGGAUGUGCCUAUGUCGGAUUAGCUAGUUGGUGGGGUAAAGGCCUACCAAGGCGACGAUCCGUAGCUGGUCUGAGAGGAUGAUCAGCCACAUCGGGACUGAGACACGGCCCGAACUCCUACGGGAGGCAGCAGUGGGGAAUAUUGGACAAUGGGGGCAACCCUGAUCCAGCCAUGCCGCGUGUGUGAAGAAGGCCUUCGGGUUGUAAAGCACUUUCAGUGAGGAGGAAAAGUUGGUCGUUAAUACCGGCCAGCCUUGACGUUACUCACAGAAGAAGCACCGGCUAACUCCGUGCCAGCAGCCGCGGUAAUACGGAGGGUGCGAGCGUUAAUCGGAAUUACUGGGCGUAAAGCGCACGCAGGCGGUUUGUUAAGCUAGAUGUGAAAGCCCCGGGCUCAACCUGGGAUGGUCAUUUAGAACUGGCAGACUAGAGUCUUGGAGAGGGGAGUGGAAUUCCAGGUGUAGCGGUGAAAUGCGUAGAUAUCUGGAGGAACAUCAGUGGCGAAGGCGACUCCCUGGCCAAAGACUGACGCUCAUGUGCGAAAGUGUGGGUAGCGAACAGGAUUAGAUACCCUGGUAGUCCACGCCGUAAACGAUGUCUACUAGCCGUUGGGACUCUUGAAGUCUUAGUGGCGCAGCUAACGCACUAAGUAGACCGCCUGGGGAGUACGGCCGCAAGGUUAAAACUCAAAUGAAUUGACGGGGGCCCGCACAAGCGGUGGAGCAUGUGGUUUAAUUCGA
rnacentral:rRNA from 1 species